AGCCAUGCAUGUCUAAGUAUAAGCAAUUAUACAGCGAAACUGCGAAUGGCUCAUUAAAUCAGUUAUCGUUUAUUUGAUAGUACCUUACUACAUGGAUAACCGUGGUAAUUCUAGAGCUAAUACAUGCUGAAAACCCCGACUUCGGAAGGGGUGUAUUUAUUAGAUUAAAAACCAAUGCCCUUCGGGGCUCACUGGUGAUUCAUGAUAACUUCUCGAAUCGCACGGCCUUGCGCCGGCGAUGGUUCAUUCAAAUUUCUGCCCUAUCAACUUUCGACGGCUGGGUCUUGGCCAGCCGUGGUGACAACGGGUAACGGAGGGUUAGGGCUCGACCCCGGAGAAAACGCCUGAGAAACGGCGUUUACAUCCAAGGAAGGCAGCAGGCGCGCAAAUUACCCAAUGCCGACACGGCGAGGUAGUGACGAGAAAUACUGAUACAGGGCUCUUUUGGGUCUUGUAAUUGGAAUGAGUACAAUUUAAAUCUCUUAACGAGGAACAAUUGGAGGGCAAGUCUGGUGAACGUUCCAGUUCCGAUGCUGGUGCCAGAGAUAGCGGUUAAAUAGCCCACGCUAGUCGAGCAUCCGCCAUCAGCGGGAGGAUGCCGGCGAGACAACCUGGAUCGGGGGACGCUAAGGUGCCGAAGGGCGCUAUGCCAAUCCCGAGCGGAGUCCACUGACGGACCCGUGUAGAGCGCGCAAAGGUGUCGGUCCGGCUCGGUCGAGCUGGGCUUAAGGUACGUGCCGAUCCCCCGCGAAAGCGGGGCCGCGUCCAAGAGUGCCCGCUGCACGAAUGGACGUGU
rnacentral:rRNA from 1 species